rnacentral:rRNA from 1 species
UACGGAGGGGGCAAGCGUUGUUCGGAAUUACUGGGCGUAAAGGGCGCGCAGGCGGCUGCUCAAGUCAGGUGUGAAAGCCCUGGGCUUAACCUAGGAAUUGCGCUUGAGACUGGAUAGCUUGGAGUGCGGCAGAGGGAGGUGGAAUUCCACGUGUAGCAGUGAAAUGCGUAGAGAUGUGGAGGAACACCGAUGGCGAAGGCAGCCUCCUGGGCCAGCACUGACGCUCAUGCACGAAAGCGUGGGGAGCAAACAGG